rnacentral:rRNA from 1 species
UGUAUAAUGGGUCAGCGACUUAUAUUCUGUAGCAAGGUUAACCGAAUAGGGGAGCCGAAGGGAAACCGAGUCUUAACUGGGCGUUAAGUUGCAGGGUAUAGACCCGAAACCCGGUGAUCUAGCCAUGGGCAGGUUGAAGGUUGGGUAACACUAACUGGAGGACCGAACCGACUAAUGUUGAAAAAUUAGCGGAUGACUUGUGGCUGGGGGUGAAAGGCCAAUCAAACCGGGAGAUAGCUGGUUCUCCCCGAAAGCUAUUUAGGUAGCGCCUCGUGAAUUCAUCUCCGGGGGUAGAGCACUGUUUCGGCAAGGGGGUCAUCCCGACUUACCAACCCGAUGCAAACUGCGAAUACCGGAGAAUGUUAUCACGGGAGACACACGGCGGGUGCUAACGUCCGUCGUGAAGAGGGAAACAACCCAGACCGCCAGCUAAGGUCCCAAAGUCAUGGUUAAGUGGGAAACGAUGUGGGAAGGCCCAGACAGCCAGGAUGUUGGCUUAGAAGCAGCCAUCAUUUAAAGAAAGCGUAAUAGCUCACUGGUCGAGUCGGCCUGCGCGGAAGAUGUAACGGGGCUAAACCAUGCACCGAAGCUGCGGCAGCGACGCUUAUGCGUUGUUGGGUAGGGGAGCGUUCUGUAAGCCUGUGAAGGUGUGCUGUGAGGCAUGCUGGAGGUAUCAGAAGUGCGAAUGCUGACAUAAGUAACGAUAAAGCGGGUGAAAAGCCCGCUCGCCGGAAGACCAAGGGUUCCUGUCCAACGUUAAUCGGGGCAGGGUGAGUCGACCCCUAAGGCGAGGCCGAAAGGCGUAGUCGAUGGGAAACAGGUUAAUAUUCCUGUACUUGGUGUUACUGCGAAGGGGGGACGGAGAAGGCUAUGUUGGCCGGGCGACGGUUGUCCCGGUUUAAGCGUGUAGGCUGGUUUUCCAGGCAAAUCCGGAAAAUCAAGGCUGAGGCGUGAUGACGAGGCACUACGGUGCUGA